UACGAAGGGUGCAAGCGUUAAUCGGAAUUACUGGGCGUAAAGCGUGCGUAGGCGGUUUGUUAAGUCUGAUGUGAAAGCCCCGGGCUCAACCUGGGAAUUGCAUUGGAAACUGGCGAGCUAGAGUGCGGUAGAGGGUGGCGGAAUUCCCGGUGUAGCGGUGAAAUGCGUAGAGAUCGGGAGGAACAUCCGUGGCGAAGGCGGCCACCUGGACCAGCACUGACGCUGAGGCACGAAAGCGUGGGGAGCAAAC
rnacentral:rRNA from 1 species